UACAGAGGGGGCGAGCGUUGUUCGGAAUUACUGGGCGUAAAGGGCGCGUAGGCGGCCUUCUAAGUCGAACGUGAAAUCCCCGGGCUCAACCCGGGAACUGCGUCCGAUACUGGGAGGCUUGAAUCCGGGAGAGGGAUGUGGAAUUCCAGGUGUAGCGGUGAAAUGCGUAGAUAUCUGGAGGAACACCUAUGGCGAAGGCAGCUCGCUGGGACGGUAUUGACGCUGAGACGCGAAAGCGUGGGGAGCGAACAGG
rnacentral:rRNA from 1 species